AAAAUGUACCGGGGCUAAACAUAUUACCGAAGCUGUGGAUUGUCCUUUGGACAAUGGUAGGAGAGCGUUCUAAGGGCGUUGAAGCAUGAUCGUAAGGACAUGUGGAGCGCUUAGAAGUGAGAAUGCCGGUGUGAGUAGCGAAAGACGGGUGAGAAUCCCGUCCACCGAUUGACUAAGGUUUCCAGAGGAAGGCUCGUCCGCUCUGGGUUAGUCGGGUCCUAAGCUGAGGCCGACAGGCGUAGGCGAUGGAUAACAGGUUGAUAUUCCUGUACCACCUAUAAUCGUUUUAAUCGAUGGGGGGACGCAGUAGGAUAGGCGAAGCGUGCGAUUGGAUUGCACGUCUAAGCAGUAAGGCUGAGUAUUAGGCAAAUCCGGUACUCGUUAAGGCUGAGCUGUGAUGGGGAGAAGACAUUGUGUCUUCGAGUCGUUGAUUUCACACUGCCGAGAAAAGCCUCUAGAUAGAAAAUAGGUGCCCGUACCGCAAACCGACACAGGUAGUCAAGAUGAGAAUUCUAAGGUGAGCGAGCGAACUCUCGUUAAGGAACUCGGCAAAAUGACCCCGUAACUUCGGGAGAAGGGGUGCUCUUUAGGGUUAACGCCCAGAAGAGCCGCAGUGAAUAGGCCCAAGCGACUGUUUAUCAAAAACACAGGUCUCUGCUAAACCGUAAGGUGAUGUAUAGGGGCUGACGCCUGCCCGGUGCUGGAAGGUUAAGAGGAGUGGUUAGCUUCUGCGAAGCUACGAAUCGAAGCCCCAGUAAACGGCGGCCGUAACUAUAACGGUCCUAAGGUAGCGAAAUUCCUUGUCGGGUAAGUUCCGACCCGCACGAAAGGCGUAACGAUUUGGGCACUGUCUCAACGAGAGACUCGGUGAAAUCAUAGUACCUGUGAAGAUGCAGGUUACCCGCGACAGGACGGAAAGACCCCGUGGAGCUUUACUGUAGCCUGAUAUUGAAAUUCGGCACAGCUUGUACAGGAUAGGUAGGAGCCUUUGAAACGUGAGCGCUAGCUUACGUGGAGGCGCUGGUGGGAUACUACCCUAGCUGUGUUGGCUUUCUAACCCGCACCACUUAUCGUGGUGGGAGACAGUGUCAGGCGGGCAGUUUGACUGGGGCGGUCGCCUCCUAAAAGGUAACGGAGGCGCUCAAAGGUUCCCUCAGAAUGGUUGGAAAUCAUUCAUAGAGUGUAAAGGCAUAAGGGAGCUUGACUGCGAGACCUACAAGUCGAGCAGGGUCGAAAGACGGACUUAGUGAUCCGGUGGUUCCGCAUGGAAGGGCCAUCGCUCAACGGAUAAAAGCUACCCCGGGGAUAACAGGCUUAUCUCCCCCAAGAGUUCACAUCGACGGGGAGGUUUGGCACCUCGAUGUCGGCUCAUCGCAUCCUGGGGCUGUAGUCGGUCCCAAGGGUUGGGCUGUUCGCCCAUUAAAGCGGUACGCGAGCUGGGUUCAGAACGUCGUGAGACAGUUCGGUCCCUAU
rnacentral:rRNA from 1 species